UGGGGAAUAUUGCACAAUGGGCGCAAGCCUGAUGCAGCAACGCCGCGUGAACGAUGAAGGUCUUCGGAUCGUAAAGUUCUGUUGCAGGGGAAGAUAAUGACGGUACCCUGUGAGGAAGCCCCGGCUAACUACGUGCCAGCAGCCGCGGUAAUACGUAGGGGGCUAGCGUUAUCCGGUUUUACUGGGCGUAAAGGGUGCGUAGGUGGUCCUUCAAGUCGGUGGUUAAAGGCUACGGCUCAACCGUAGUAAGCCGCCGAAACUGGAGGACUUGAGUGCAGGAGAGGGAAGGGGAAUUCCCAGUGUAGCGGUGAAAUGCGUAGAUAUUGGGAGGAAAACCAGUAGCGAAGGCGGCUUUCUGGACUGCAACUGACACUGAGGCACGAAGGAGUGGGUAGCAAACAGG
rnacentral:rRNA from 1 species